rnacentral:rRNA from 1 species
AUUCCAGCUCCAAUAGCGUAUAUUAAAGUUGUUGCAGUUAAAAAGCUCGUAGUUGGAUUUCUGGUGCAUUCCACUGGCCUAUUGGUUAACUCCAACUUGGCUCAUUUGGAAUACGCCAUCUUUAGGCAGACCCGUCGUGGCAUUAGGUUGUCGUGAUGGUUACGCCUAUCGUUUACUGUGAAGAAAUUAGGGUGUUCAAAGCAGGCUUAUGCCAUGAAUACGUUAGCAUGGAAUAAUGAGAUAGGAUUUCGGUACUAUUUUGUUGGUUUGUGUACGGAAAUAAUGAUUAACAGGAACAGUGUUGUGGGUAUUCGUAUUUCGUUGUCAGAGGUGAAAUUCUUGGAUUUACGAAAGACGAACGACUGCGAAAGCAUUUACCAAGGAUAUUUUCAUUA